AGGUCCAAGCUACUGUGUGCCUCCAGUAAUGUCAUCAAGCACUGGCCCAUGAAAGAACACAAUCUUCAACCACAAAUCGACUAUCGAUCAUCUUAUGUUAUGUCAACCUGCAUCAUGACGGGCAAUUGUACAAGCGUUGCGGUGUGUUGGAUCCUUGUAUUGGGGAAGGCUCACCCUUCAACCAGCUCAAUCAUUGAGUUCAUGCCAUGAUGGGAGGGAGUGUAUGAGAACUGAUGAGUCACAGCCUGAACCACUGAUUGGGCACCUGGGGAAAGGAGCCGGGCAGCCCUGGGAGUGGAGCCUGGCUCCACCUCUCUUAGACCUCAUUUAAGGGUUGACUGCCACUGAGGAAGGAUCUCUUUCUGGAGAUUGCUCAUUGGUGGAGUUUUCCCCUGUGAGCCUAGAUCUUUGGAGGCAGACAGCUAAUGAAUCAAAAGAAAUAAUAUGGACCAGCCAAUUAGCAACAUCAAAGCAUGCACACAUUAGAAGGAGAAGGAAGAGCAAGGCGUGCUGGUUCUCAUUCAUCGCUGGUGAAAAAUGCGAAGCUAAUGGCGGUGACUGUGCAGAACAACAGCGGACUGCAGCUGAUAACUUGCUCUAUCAAAUAAUGUUAUUGUACAUUUUCUAUCUGUUCUCUACUCCAUGGAAAUAAGUAGCAGACGUUACUUUCAGAGGAGUAUACUCAUUUUUUUGGGGGGUGAUCUUUUCUUUCUAAAUCACGCACUGCAAGAUCUCCCGAGAGAACACAAAGACCAAAAUACAAAGCCUGACUCAAUGCCAGAGCAGAGGGAAAGAGAAGAGAUGUGUCAAGCCGAGAGUUUUACCACCUUCUGAAUGAGGGUCAACAGCUGUGGGUAUAAUUGAAGAUUCCAUUUCUGUACCGUGAGAAUCAAGGAAUGCCACUUUCUAACACCACACUGGCGUUAGAGAGUUUUCUUGCCUGAUUUCAGAUGGUGGCAUGAGUGCAAUGCAUGAUACGGGACACUCCGUGCCUGGCAGCAGCUCCUGGCCCAACUGGAAGGGAGCAUCAUAUGGCAUAAAGGCCUUGCAAACCCCACAGCUGGCAGCGCUCCUCCCACCAUGUCCUCGACCAGCCAGAAUAAGGAGGAGAACAGACCCUCAGGGCACUCCUGGAUCCGCAGUGGUGACUAGCUUUUCUUUCCUUUGAUUUUUUUUUUCUCUUUCCCUCCUUCUCUUUUCUUUUUGCUCGUCUUUCAAUAAGUGAAAGCACACCCUUCCUUCGUCUUCUUUCUCAGUCAGUUUGGAGGGAUUAAGGUCAGUAUAGAGAAACGUAAGCCUCUUCAGCUUGCAAGAGAGACAAUCCUGGUACUCCCUCUCCUAACCAUGCCAUUCCAGUGCUCUCCAGCUUGUUACCGUUCUGGUACCCCUUCGAUCAGGCCAUAGCUCCGGGAGCAGCAUUUCCAGUUUUGUACGGAGUGAUUGAUUAUCCCAACUCACUGUACUUCAUGGAGGAUCGAGGCACAGUGGUACUUUUACAUGAGACUGCAGAGUAGCCUAGGAGGCAGUGCCACCACAAUUCAAGCAGUAGCUGAUGUAUCAGUCCACAGGGUGGUUGCGUUCACCUUUUGCCUCUGUGCCUGUACGUGCACUUUACACUUUCUUGCUUACUUUAACAGGCCCGACCGAAAGUUCAGACUGUGUUAUACAAGCGAGCAGGUUCUUUCCAGCAGUGGAGCUUGUUUAGCCAUCUUCCAAACCUCAGUGAUCAGGGCAGUGGUUAAGAACAAGCUUCAAACAAGAAGUGCGAGUAAAAUUUUGAUGGGAUGUAAGUAUUAGGUUCAUUACUCUGCUUGCUGUAAGAGAAGGUCCGAAAGAGGACUUCCCACUCUUGGUGUCCUCCACCUUUCUUCUUUCCAGAACUUGAUGUACUUCUUCACUGUCAUGAUGGACCAAGAAAUUAUUCUUUUGUCCUGUUUUCUAUGCUUGUUUUAGGAAGAUCACACUGAUGGAGAAGUUGCUUGAUUGAAGGAAGUUCCAUUCGUUAUGAUCAUGGUUGGUUGCUGCUCACAAUAUAGCAUCUAUUUGAAAGACCGCUCUUUGUGAGUAAAGGUACAGAGAAAUUUAAAUCACAACCAAUAGUCAUGGAAAACCUGUACAAAGAUUAGUGUGGUUAGUUGUACCGUGGACUAAGUCAGCUACAUUACCCAAGCCAGCAGCACAUGCUUGUAGCAUGGGAAACCAACUCUUAUCAUGGGCUGUAUCAAAAGAGGGUGGCCAGUAGGAUGAGUGAGUGGAUUGACAGCUCGCCCUUGCCCCCUGCUUCGGCCCUUGUGAGGCACCAUCUGCAGUACUGUCUCCAGGUCUGGGGACCGCAGCACAAGAAAGAUGUGGGAGCUGCCGGAGCAGGCCCUGAGCAGGCCCAUGGAGGUGAUCAAAGAACUCGAGCAGCUCUGCUGUGAAGGCAGGCUGAGGGAGCUGGGCUCAUUCAGUCUAGAGAAGAGGAAGAUCCGGGAAGACUUCAUUACAGCCUUCCUUGUAUUUAAAUGGAGCUUAUAAUCAGAAGGUAGAUGUGCUUUUGAUGUGAUGUGAUUACAAUAGGAAGAGGGAGAAUGUCUUUAAACACAAAGAGGUGAGAGAUUUCCAUUGGAUGUCACUCAGAAGGUGAAACAUCACUGGAGGUGUUCAAGGGCAGCUUGAACGGCGCGCUGGGCCCCUUGAUACGGUGGUUGGCAACGCCGCCUACAAACAAGGGUGUCAGAACAAGAUGAUCUCCGAUGCCCCUUCCAACCAACCCAAGCCAAGCCGUUCUAUGAUUCUGUGCUCUUUUAACAAGGAGUCAUAUAAUGUUCACACACAAGCGCGACCAUAGCACCAUAUCACAGAAUCACAGAACUGCUUGGAUUGGAAGACAGUCUUGUUCCACACCCCUGCUGUGGACAGCUUUGCCAGCCACUGUAUGAUGUUGCCCGGGCCCCAUUCAAGCUGGCCUUGGACACCUCUAGGGACGGGGCAUCCACAACUUCUCUGGGCAGCCACUUUUGCCCUCUGAAUGAAAAAUUUCUCACUAGCAUCUAAUCUAAAUAGCUUCUCUUUAAGUUUAAAGACUUUCUCCCUUGUCCUGUCCAUCUCAGACCAUGUGAAAAGUCUGUCUGCUUUCUCUCUAUGAGCUCCAUUCAAAUCUGGAAGGCUUUACUGCGUAACUAACAAAAAAAUAGAGCUGUCAUCCUGAAACUGCCCUUUGUCAUUUUCUGUUAAAGUCAUGUUCUCUGGGUGAACUUUGCUUAUUGUAAGCGUAUUAACAUACCAAAACAGACUGCCACCCCAAAGCCUACCCUACCCGCCUCCAAGGUGCGACCCUGCUUCCUCAAGCAUGUGCUCGGAUUUUUUUAGAAGCAAAGCAAAGAGAAUUUACAGCAAUGGUAACAAUGGUAUCUGUGGCCAGAGUUUCCCGUCCUUUAGGAAGACACCAUCACAUGCAAGCUCGGAGGACGUCGCUGACUUCUGGGAUCAGUUGAUGGGCUGAGCCUCUUUUCCCCCUCCAGAUGUGUACCCAUUGGAUGAGAUGCACAUAGCUGGUUAGGCUGAGUGCUUCUCUGGGAACCUUAGAAACUGUCAGUGCUUGUCCCGUUAGAGAAAUUCUCAGUCAGUGUGGCAUCAGAAUAGUAAGUCCUCUUUAUUGUGUUUUACACACAUCUUAUAUAUCCUUCACUGGUAAGCAGUAAAUCCACUCACAGUUAAUUAUCCUUAAGUUCU